CUUUGAUUUAUUUUUUAUUUUAAUUUUUUUAUUUUUUAUUUUUUGAUAAUUAAGGGAAUAAUAGAUGUUGUCAACUUCAUAAAUCACACCUUAACUGAUUAUGAAUUUGCUCUGACACUUGGCCAUCAGUAUGAACACAGGGUGAACCUCUUACCAGUGAAAACCACCUACAGAAGCUCAGUCGUGCAAAGAGCCAUUGCAGUGGUAGGAUCACACACGCAGUGAUGAUCUUUACCUUGAUAACAGCUUUACUGCUCUGCAGCUUCAGUAAGUACUGACUUUAAACUACUCCACAGCAGUUUAUAUCAAUGCAUUGGUUUGGUUCCUGUUGCUUUAUCAGCCAAAGGAUUAAUAUCUCUGCUGUGUGUUUCAGGCUGGAUCGCUGACUCUCUUCCUGAGUCUCAGACGGUGGAGGUCCAGCAGGGUGAAAAAGUUACGCUGCUGUGCUCCAACUUUUCCAGUUCUCCUACACAGAUAAUCUGGUUCAGAUUCAUCAACAGAACCCAGCCCCGCUGCAUUAAUUCUUUGUUCAAGCCUUUCGAGCCAAAUUUAAAACGACAUCCAACGUCUCCACCGUCUUUCUCAAAAUCAAACAAGUGGAUUUGUCUGACUCUGGACUGUAUUUCUGCGGAUUUUACAUGAACAGACACCCAGUCAUUGUCAAUGCAACAUAUUUAAAUGUUACAGAAAAGCCUAGGGGAAUAACAAGCCUGAGGAGUGGGAUCCUGGGCAGUCUGACUGUCUUUGUUUCCAUGGUCGUCACUGGUCUGGUUGUUAAAAUCACAAAGUUUUGGACAGCUGGAGAUAACGGGUUGAAUCCACAGUGGAGAGAGAACAUGAGCUCUGAUUACCUGAUGAGAUUGUAUUCACCAACAAUAAGAAACAGGAGGCCUGCAUCAGAGAGAGAAGAGGAGACUCAUGUUAUUUACACUGCCAGCAGAUAGACUCAGAGUGGAACUGAUGCUUUGUCAUGUUCAUUUGCCAUAGUGAUUUUUAUGUAAAAGUGAAUAUCAUAUAUAGAUGUGAAAUCUGCAGCCUUUGAGA